rnacentral:lncRNA from 1 species
UCAUUAUUUAAACCAACCUAAUUGAACGAAAUAAGUUAGGUCCAAUUAGACUAAUUUAAACCCAACUUAAUUAGGCUUAAUUAGGCUCAAUAAAAUCCUAAUCAAAUUAGAAAUUGACUAAGCCCAACCCCUGAUCAAAUCAGGGACCAAACCAUCUCGACGAUUAGGUCAACUCUUAACCUAAUCGGGUCAAACCCAACUGAAUCCAAUUCAAUUGGAC